AGAGUUUGAUCCUGGCUCAGGACGAACGCUGGCGGCGUGCUUAACACAUGCAAGUCGAACGGUGACGGAGGAGCUUGCUCCUCCUGAUCAGUGGCGAACGGGUGAGUAACACGUGAGCAACCUGCCCCUGACUCUGGGAUAACUUCGAGAAAUCGGAGCUAAUACCGGAUACGAGACGCACGGGCAUCUGUAGCGUCUGGAAAGAUUUAUCGGUCAGGGAUGGGCUCGCGGCCUAUCAGCUAGUUGGUGAGGUAACGGCUCACCAAGGCGACGACGGGUAGCCGGCCUGAGAGGGCGACCGGCCACACUGGGACUGAGACACGGCCCAGACUCCUACGGGAGGCAGCAGUGGGGAAUAUUGCACAAUGGGCGCAAGCCUGAUGCAGCGACGCCGCGUGGGGGAUGAAGGCCUUCGGGUUGUAAACCCCUUUCAGCAGGGAAGAAGCGAAAGUGACGGUACCUGCAGAAGAAGCGCCGGCUAACUACGUG
rnacentral:rRNA from 1 species